rnacentral:pre_miRNA from 13 species
UUAGUGGUACAAUACCUCAGUCUUAUCAGGUGUUCUUUCAAUUCACCUGGCAAUACUGAGGUUGUGUCUCACUGAAC